rfam:Brassica napus, WGS project CCCW01000000 data, contig: 417
AGGCAGCCUACUUGUUAAAAAAAACAAUGACAUGAGAGGUGUUUAACUGCUCCUAGAUAAAAACUAUGCUUCUGCUCUUCAGACUUGCUGAGAUUUUGUCUUUGAAGCUGGUCUAGUAGUCUUAAGCACAUU